UGCUAAUCUGCGAUAAGCGUCGGUAAGGUGAUAUGAACCGUUAUAACCGGCGAUUUCCGAAUGGGGAAACCCAGUGUGUUUCGACACACUAUCAUUAACUGAAUCCAUAGGUUAAUGAGGCGAACCGGGGGAACUGAAACAUCUAAGUACCCCGAGGAAAAGAAAUCAACCGAGAUUCCCCCAGUAGCGGCGAGCGAACGGGGAGCAGCCCAGAGCCUGAAUCAGUGUGUGUGUUAGUGGAAGCGUCUGGAAAGGCGCGCGAUACAGGGUGACAGCCCCGUACACAAAAAUGCACAUGCUGUGAGCUCGAUGAGUAGGGCGGGACACGUGGUAUCCUGUCUGAAUAUGGGGGGACCAUCCUCCAAGGCUAAAUACUCCUGACUGACCGAUAGUGAACCAGUACCGUGAGGGAAAGGCGAAAAGAACCCCGGCGAGGGGAGUGAAAAAGAACCUGAAACCGUGUACGUACAAGCAGUGGGAGCACGCUUAGGCGUGUGACUGCGUACCUUUUGUAUAAUGGGUCAGCGACUUAUAUUCUGUAGCAAGGUUAACCGAAUAGGGGAGCCGAAGGGAAACCGAGUCUUAACUGGGCGUUAAGUUGCAGGGUAUAGACCCGAAACCCGGUGAUCUAGCCAUGGGCAGGUUGAAGGUUGGGUAACACUAACUGGAGGACCGAACCGACUAAUGUUGAAAAAUUAGCGGAUGACUUGUGGCUGGGGGUGAAAGGCCAAUCAAACCGGGAGAUAGCUGGUUCUCCCCGAAAGCUAUUUAGGUAGCGCCUCGUGAAUUCAUCUCCGGGGGUAGAGCACUGUUUCGGCAAGGGGGUCAUCCCGACUUACCAACCCGAUGCAAACUGCGAAUACCGGAGAAUGUUAUCACGGGAGACACACGGCGGGUGCUAACGUCCGUCGUGAAGAGGGAAACAACCCAGACCGCCAGCUAAGGUCCCAAAGUCAUGGUUAAGUGGGAAACGAUGUGGGAAGGCCCAGACAGCCAGGAUGUUGGCUUAGAAGCAGCCAUCAUUUAAAGAAAGCGUAAUAGCUCACUGGUCGAGUCGGCCUGCGCGGAAGAUGUAACGGGGCUAAACCAUGCACCGAAGCUGCGGCAGCGACGCUGAUGCGUUGUUGGGUAGGGGAGCGUUCUGUAAGCCUGCGAAGGUGUGCUGUGAGGCAUGCUGGAGGUAUCAGAAGUGCGAAUGCUGACAUAAGUAACGAUAAAGCGGGUGAAAAGCCCGCUCGCCGGAAGACCAAGGGUUCCUGUCCAACGUUAAUCGGGGCAGGGUGAGUCGACCCCUAAGGCGAGGCCGAAAGGCGUAGUCGAUGGGAAACAGGUUAAUAUUCCUGUACUUGGUGUUACUGCGAAGGGGGGACGGAGAAGGCUAUGUUGGCCGGGCGACGGUUGUCCCGGUUUAAGCGUGUAGGCUGGUUUUCCAGGCAAAUCCGGAAAAUCAAGGCUGAGGCGUGAUGACGAGGCACUACGGUGCUGAAGCAACAAAUGCCCUGCUUCCAGGAAAAGCCUCUAAGCAUCAGGUAACAUCAAAUCGUACCCCAAACCGACACAGGUGGUCAGGUAGAGAAUACCAAGGCGCUUGAGAGAACUCGGGUGAAGGAACUAGGCAAAAUGGUGCCGUAACUUCGGGAGAAGGCACGCUGAUAUGUAGGUGAAGUCCCUUGCGGAUGGAGCUGAAAUCAGUCGAAGAUACCAGCUGGCUGCAACUGUUUAUUAAAAACACAGCACUGUGCAAACACGAAAGUGGACGUAUACGGUGUGACGCCUGCCCGGUGCCGGAAGGUUAAUUGAUGGGGUUAGCCGCAAGGCGAAGCUCUUGAUCGAAGCCCCGGUAAACGGCGGCCGUAACUAUAACGGUCCUAAGGUAGCGAAAUUCCUUGUCGGGUAAGUUCCGACCUGCACGAAUGGCGUAAUGAUGGCCAGGCUGUCUCCACCCGAGACUCAGUGAAAUUGAACUCGCUGUGAAGAUGCAGUGUACCCGCGGCAAGACGGAAAGACCCCGUGAACCUUUACUAUAGCUUGACACUGAACAUUGAGCCUUGAUG
rnacentral:rRNA from 1 species